CUACCUACAUUUUUCUCUUCCAGGUAUGUUGAUUGGGAACCUGAGUCACAGGAAAUAUGCUGAGUUACAGCACAUUUCCUCACACACACACACCCCAAAUCACGAGCAUAUUUAUCUGCGAGCGUGUCAAAUGCACAGUACGUUCAGACAAUACAGGCUCAAAAGAUUAACAGACCUUAAUCCUACCUCUGUGCAUUAAUACACAACAGAUGAUGCACACGUCUAUAAGGACCGAUGUACGUACACAAAAGGCAAUCUUCCCCAUGAAAACAUACCUGAGCUAUUCACCUUUUGGAAACUUAAUAGGCAUUAACUCACCUAGAAGACCAAACUGGACCCGCCUGCUUCUUCGGUUUGGCUAUCUGCUUCUGGUACUCCAUCCAGCCACUCACCAGCUCAUGAAGGAUCAUCACGUAGAGAAGGAAAAUAAGAAUCCUGGGAUCCAUUCGCGGCACUUCGGGGUCUGCUUCAUCGGGUACAGACUGCAGACUGCCUCUGCCCCGCUUCUGCUCUUUUACCAUCCUCAAUACUCAAGCAAACAUUCCCUAUGUCUGAAAGUCCUCUUGAGUCUUAAAAAACUUACCUGAACUUUAACACACAAUUUUUUGUUAAAAACGUCACCAAUUCAUCCUUAAUACUAUGUAAGGUAGAAAAGCCAACAACCUGUGAGUUAUUGCCAGAGCCAACAGCUCUUAACAGGGCAGUUGGUUUCCAAAUAGCCCGGUGACUAGUCACAAGCAGCAAGUUCUUUGACAAGUGAUUCCAAAAAAGGAACUGGAAAGGCUGAUUUUAGAGUGAUUAAAGCCCAAGUUGGGAGGGCAGGAGCUAGCCGUGGUGCUGAGGGGCCCCUCUGGCAGCUGUGGGGUAUGGGGGUACAGGACCUCCCCCCCCAGCAGCGGGGCACCCCAACACCCCCCCAUGAAGCUGUGGAUAUUUCCCCUCUGCCCCCCAGCCUGCACUGGUGCAUAAAUUCAGCCCAAGGGCACAGCCUUGGCAUUGUCCUGGAGAGGUUUGAUGGGAGCAGAAGCGCCUGCAUGGGUCCUUCAAUUUGUGCAAAUACUCUCAGUAGAGUCAAGAAGCAGUUAGCAAACUCACUGGGGACUCCUAAGGGUUUGCAGCAACUAACAACUGGGCUGUUGCACACUUUGGUAGUCAUCAGUACAAGACAGAUAUGCCAAUAAAAUGUGUAUACAAGACUAUAGCGUAACGUAGGCACCUGAGUGCUUAAACAGACCUUACCUGCAGACCAGAGCCUUGAUCUGCUUCUCAAGUUGUCCAUUGUUCUGCAAAUGGUUUUAAUUAAGAGCCAUCGCUCCUCAGAUACAUCGUUUCUCUCUCCCGCUGUUUUCAGACAUCUCUACAAAAAUGACAAGUAAGUAAAAUAUGGAUGAAGCCUGUAUGAAAGAAGUGGCAUGGAAAAAAGUUCCCCAAGCCUGAAGUGAGAGGGAAGUAGGGCCUGAGAUGGUAUCAGAGAGCCUGGAAUUUGGGCAGGCUCUGAAGAACAGAAGGAAAUGAAAAGCAGGCUCUGGGGUACAAAGCAGUCUGCCCCAGUUUUGGUGAACAGAAACCCAUGCAGAGGACAACUCUUUCAACUCACAGUUUAAGAAGAUACAAAGGAACGGCAGCAUAGCUGAGCCACUGACCUACUGAUAAAAUCUCAUUCUGAAGCAGUGGAAGCAGCAGCAUGUGCAGUGCUUCCUUCCUAAGCUCAGAAGAAGUCAAACAGAUCUGGAACCAGAGAGGAAAAUGGAAAUAGAACUGCCAACAGAGCCAGAAGAGAGCAGAUCUCAGCCUUCACAGAGGACUGGAAAAUGGAUUUUCAGAGUUAAAGAGAGGUACUGCAGAAUCUGUCAGCACCUUCCAUAGCCUCAUACGAGUCAACAAUCAAUAAAAGACAAAGAACAGACACUCUGAGACAUAUUUUUUCUGAGGAUUUUUAAUUGCUUCUACCUACAAAUGUGGUUGGAAAAGUGGUAAUAUGAAACUUGCAUUCUUAAUCAUCAGAUUUCUUUGUAUCAGAUUGCCAAUGACU